CCUACGGGGGGCUGCAGUGGGGAAUUUUGGGCAAUGGGCGAAAGCCUGACCCAGCAACGCCGCGUGAAGGAUGAAGUAUUUCGGUAUGUAAACUUCGAAAGAAUAGGAAGAAUUAAUGACGGUACUAUUUAUAAGGUCCGGCUAACUACGUGCCAGCAGCCGCGGUAAUACGUAGGGACCAAGCGUUGUUCGGAUUUACUGGGCGUAAAGGGCGCGUAGGCGGUGCGGUAAGUCACUUGUGAAAUCUCUGAGCUUAACUCAGAACGGCCAAGUGAUACUGCAGUACUAGAGUGCAGAAGGGGCAAUCAGAAUUCUUGGUGUAGCGGUGAAAUGCGUAGAUAUCAAGAGGAAUACCUGAGGUGAAGACGGGUUGCUAGGCUGACACUGACGCUGAGGCGCGAAAGCUAGGGGAGCAAACGGGAUUAGAUACCCCAGUAGUC
rnacentral:rRNA from 1 species